UACGUAGGCAGCGAGCGUUGUUCGGAAUUACUGGGCGUAAAGAGUGUGUAGGCGGUGCUCUAAGUUCGGUGUGAAAUCUCCCGGCUUAACUGGGAGGGUGCGCCGGAAACUGGAGUGCUCGAGCGUGGGAGAGGAAAGCGGAAUUCCUGGUGUAGCGGUGAAAUGCGUAGAUAUCAGGAGGAACACCUGCGGUGUAGACGGCUGUCUGGACCAUUGCUGACGCUGAGACACGAAAGCGUGGGUAGCAAACAGG
rnacentral:rRNA from 1 species